rnacentral:rRNA from 1 species
GCGGAGGGAUCAUUACAAGUGACCCCGGUCUAACCACCGGGAUGUUCAUAACCCUUUGUUGUCCGACUCUGUUGCCUCCGGGGCGACCCUGCCUUCGGGCGGGGGCUCCGGGUGGACACUUCAAACUCUUGCGUAACUUUGCAGUCUGAGUAAACUUAAUUAAUAAAUUAAAACUUUUAACAACGGAUCUCUUGGUUCUGGCAUCGAUGAAGAACGCAGCGAAAUGCGAUAAGUAAUGUGAAUUGCAGAAUUCAGUGAAUCAUCGAAUCUUUGAACGCACAUUGCGCCCCCUGGUAUUCCGGGGGGCAUGCCUGUUCGAGCGUCAUUUCACCACUCAAGCCUCGCUUGGUAUUGGGCAACGCGGUCCGCCGCGUGCCUCAAAUCGACCGGCUGGGUCUUCUGUCCCCUAAGCGUUGUGGAAACUAUUCGCUAAAGGGUGUUCGGGAGGCUACGCCGUAAAACAACCCCAUUUCUAAGGUUGACCUCGGAUCAGGUAGGGAUACCCGCUGAACUUAAGCAUAU